GGGUUGUGAGGUUAAGCGACUAAGCGUACACGGUGGAUGCCCUGGCAGUCAGAGGCGAUGAAGGACGUGCUAAUCUGCGAUAAGCGUCGGUGAGGUGAUAUGAACCGUUAUAACCGGCGAUUUCCGAAUGGGGAAACCCAGUGUGUUUCGACACACUAUCAUUAACUGAAUCCAUAGGUUAAUGAGGCGAACCGGGGGAACUGAAACAUCUAAGUACCCCGAGGAAAAGAAAUCAACCGAGAUUCCCCCAGUAGCGGCGAGCGAACGGGGAGGAGCCCAGAGCCUGAAUCAGUGUGUGUGUUAGUGGAAGUGUCUGGAAAGGCGCGCGAUACAGGGUGACAGCCCCGUACACAAAAAUGCACAUGCUGUGAGCUCGAUGAGUAGGGCGGGACACGUGGUAUCCUGUCUGAAUAUGGGGGGACCAUCCUCCAAGGCUAAAUACUCCUGACUGACCGAUAGUGAACCAGUACCGUGAGGGAAAGGCGAAAAGAACCCCGGCGAGGGGAGUGAAAAAGAACCUGAAACCGUGUACGUACAAGCAGUGGGAGCCUCUUAAUGGGGUGACUGCGUACCUUUUGUAUAAUGGGUCAGCGACUUAUAUUCUGUAGCAAGGUUAACCGAAUAGGGGAGCCGAAGGGAAACCGAGUCUUAACUGGGCGUUAAGUUGCAGGGUAUAGACCCGAAACCCGGUGAUCUAGCCAUGGGCAGGUUGAAGGUUGGGUAACACUAACUGGAGGACCGAACCGACUAAUGUUGAAAAAUUAGCGGAUGACUUGUGGCUGGGGGUGAAAGGCCAAUCAAACCGGGAGAUAGCUGGUUCUCCCCGAAAGCUAUUUAGGUAGCGCCUCGUGAAUUCAUCUCCGGGGGUAGAGCACUGUUUCGGCAAGGGGGUCAUCCCGACUUACCAACCCGAUGCAAACUGCGAAUACCGGAGAAUGUUAUCACGGGAGACACACGGCGGGUGCUAACGUCCGUCGUGAAGAGGGAAACAACCCAGACCGCCAGCUAAGGUCCCAAAGUCAUGGUUAAGUGGGAAACGAUGUGGGAAGGCCCAGACAGCCAGGAUGUUGGCUUAGAAGCAGCCAUCAUUUAAAGAAAGCGUAAUAGCUCACUGGUCGAGUCGGCCUGCGCGGAAGAUGUAACGGGGCUAAACCAUG
rnacentral:rRNA from 1 species